rnacentral:rRNA from 1 species
AUGUCGGCCGGUGUCGCUUGUUUUAAAGGCGAACAGUCAUGCGACAAACAAUUGUACGUACGACUGUAUAGCUAUUCAUCUUCACAUGAUACUAUCUUUUCCUUUGAACUUGCCCGGGUUCUACAAAAUGCAUCGCUGCAGCACCAAACGCACACCAACCAAACAACAAUCCAAUUAGCUCAGAGGGAACAGCUCCAGAUGAAUCUGGCGACGGGCGCCAUGGGCUCCCUGCUCCCCAAGCUGCUCGAGCUCCUCAAGGAGGAGUACAAGCUGAAGAAGAAGGUCAGGGAAGGCGUCGAGUCUCUCGAGAAAGAGAUGAAGAGCAUGUACACUGCCCUCCGCAAGGUGGGCGAGGUGCCACGGGACCAACUCGACGAGCAGGUCAAGUUCUGGGCGGACGAGGUAAGGGAGCUCUCCUUCAACAUGGAGGAUGUUGUUGACAAGUUUCUGGUGCGUGUCGAAGACGGCUCUGAGCCUGCCGCUAACUCGAACAAGAUUAAACGGCUCACCAAGAAGAUGGCCGGCUUGUUCAUCAAGGGGAAGACUCACCAUGAGAUCGCGAACGCGAUCAAGGACAUCAAUAAGCAAGUCCAAGAGGUUGCUAGCAGGCGUGUGCGGUACAAUGUCGACAAUCUUGUUGCUAUGCCUGCAGCGGUGGCUCCCAUCGAUCCUCGCCUUCGGGCUCUGUACACCGAAGUGACAGAGCUUGUUGGCAUUGCUGGGAAAAGGGAUCAAGAGCUAAUGAAGUUGCUUUCAGAAGGAGACAAUGAGUCCAAGAAAAAAUUGAAGACUGUCUCUGUUGUCGGAUUUGGAGGAUUAGGCAAGACCACUCUUGUCAAAACGGUUUAUGACAAGAUUAAAGGAGAAUUUGAUUGCCGAGCUUUUGUUUCUGUUGGUCGAAAUGCUAGUGCAAAAAAGAUUUUGAUGGAUAUCCUUCUUGCUCUUGACAUGUACGAAAGCCAUUUCACCAUAUUGGGCGAAACGCAACUCAUCGACAAACUCCGGGAACGUCUCGAGAACAAGAGGUACCUCAUUGUAAUUGAUGAUAUAUGGGAUGAGAAAUUGUGGACAAUUAUCAACUGGGCCUUCUCUAAAAACAACAAUUUUGGCAGUCGACUAAUCACGACAACUCGUAUAGUCAAUGUAUCUAAAUUCUGCUGCUCAUCUACUAAUGAUUCAGUCUAUCAAAUGGAACCUCUUAGUGAUGAUGAUUCCAAAAGGUUGUUCUAUAAAAGGAUAUUUUCUCAAGAGAGUGGGUGUCCUCGUGAAUUAGAAGAAGUGUCCACAUGCAUAUUGAAGAAAUGUGGUGGAGUGCCAUUAGCCAUAAUUACUAUAGCUAGUCUUUUGGCUAGUGAUCAGCAUCCAAAACCAGAGGAUGAGUGGCAUGUUUUGCUAGAGUCUAUUGGCCGUGGACUUACCAAAGACCACGGUGUAGAGGAGAUGAUGAGGAUACUAUCAAUUAGCUAUUAUGACUUGCCUUCUUAUCUGAGAACAUGUUUAUUAUAUCUAAGCAUGUUUCCAGAAGAUCGCGAGAUUAUGAAAGAUCAAUUGAUAUGGAUGUGGAUUGCCGAAAGUUUUGUCCAAUGUGAAAAAGCAAAAACUAGUCUCUUUGAGAUCGGGGAGACUUACUUCAAUGAGUUGGUGAACAGAAGCUUGAUCCAGCCGGUAUACAAUUAUCGCGGCUUUGUAUAUGCUUGUCGUGUGCACGAUAGUGUGCUUGAUCUAAUUUGUUCAUUAUCAAGAGAAGAGAGUUUUGUUACCAUAUUGAAUGGUACCGAUGAUGGCAUUUCUUCUCAGAGAAAUGUGCGCAAGUUGUCCCUCCAAAAUACAAUCAAAGAACAUCAAACAAUGCCUCUUAUUUCUAAGAGUAUAUUACAAGUGAGGUCCAUUGCCACAUUUAAAUCUGCUAUUGGUCUAUUGCCGCCUUUGUCGAGCUUCGUUGUUUUACGUGUACUGGAUUUGACUGGAUGCAAUGUUGGUGAUCAUAGCCAUCUAAACCUUCAGGACUUGGGGACUUUAUUUCACUUGAGGUACCUAGGUCUAGCCGAUAUAGGAAUUUCUGAGGUCCCAGAAGUUGGAAAGUUGCAGUUUUUACAGGUGCUGGAUUUGAGUGGAAAUUAUGAUAUAAGAGAACUUCCGUCGAGUGUUACCAGACUGAGAAGAUUGAUGUGCCUACUAACUGAGCCUCUCUGGAAUCUUCCAGAUGGACUGGGAAAGCUGACAUCAAUGGAAGUGCUGGGUGAAAUCUGUGGUGACUCUUUAUGCACUGUGAAAGCAUUGGGCAACAUGAAAGCAUUAAGGAAGCUCCAAAUUAAAUUUAAUGAUCUGAGCAUGGAGCUAGAGGAAGCUUUUGUGGAGUCACUAGAAGAACUUUCCAACAUCCAAAGUCUAGAAAUUGAUGCCAGCGGCGCUUCCAUGGAUCUCCUGGGGGAACGCUGGGUGCCACCUAGAAGUCUGCGGGAAUUUAUCGCAGACAGACAUGGCAUAUUCUCCAUGCUGCCAGCGUGGAUAAGGAGGAAUCCCGCCCAUCUGUCGCAACUACACGAGUUGCACAUAUGGGUGGAGGAAGUGCGGCAGAAGGAUCUUGGGUUCCUUGGCAAGUUAUCGGCUCUUCAUAGUCUCACAUUGCGGACCACCCGCCAAAGGCAGCUAUUCUUCGGUGCUGAUGGGUUUCGUUGUCUGACAACAAUCGUGUUGGUUUGCCGAUCGCCGGGCCGAAUCAUGUUCCGGCCGGGAGCUUUGCCCAGGGCUGAAACUGUCAAGUUUGAAAUCCGUUUGCGGGUCGCAAAAGAGGAAGCAGCUAGCAGCGGUGGCGAUUGGUUGGAUCUGGGCAUGGAAUACCUGGUGUCCCUUCGGAAGGUUCAUGUCCGGUUCUACACCUCCGGGGUGAUGGUCGGCGAGGUCAAGCAAGCCCGGGCUUCGCUGGAGAACACACUCCAUGCCCAUCCUAACCGCCCCGUCUUUGGCGUCUUCUUCAUCCCGGACAUAGUACACGGCACAAGUGAUGAUGACACCUUCGUAUAG